GCAUGUAACCUAACCCUCCUCGCCAGACACUUCCUGAGGGAUCCACCCAUCACCAUCAUUGAGCCCAGAAGUGCCAACAUCAAGCAACUGCUAGGCUCUGCCAGCCCCCUCAGCACCCUCUGGUGGCCAUUCUAACAACUCAGCGCCCUCCCUACUUCCUCCUGAACAAACCCAUGGACUGCAGACUGCACAGGGCUUGUGCACUUGAUAGAUUUAAUUCCUCCUCUCUCGUAGAACAACAUAGCAUCUUGUAGGAGGUGGGUAUUUCUCAAAGUCAGCUGUGGCACUCACUCCUCCAUAUCCUUCAGCAUUCCUCUUAGUCAAUGAGCUGAACCCACUCCGAAUCAGCUAACUGGAUUUGAAUUAAUCAGCCUUAAUCUGAUCCCCUCUUUAUCUAUGUUACUUGGCUUGAGGUAGGAUUUUCCCUCAGGGGUGCACAAAAGAAGGGAGAGGCUCUGAUGGAAGAAACUGAAUUAACUUUUCAGAGAACCCUCAAGAGACAGUCUCUGGGCUGGACACAGCCUGAGCAUCAAAGCUUCUCUGCUUCUCCAUUCAUGACCACCACCCCAGCUCUCAUAGGCAAACAUUGUGAAAGCUAGAAGACUACAUGCCGAAUAGUCAAACCAGUUGCUUGUGGGUUCAGAGCUCUGCUUCUGGAGAAUCAAAAGGCAGGUAGACCCCCUAUGUGCUGUCCAGUGGUGGAGACUUUGAGCUACGUGAGGCAUAUGAAAGUGACCCAAAUAUGAAGGCAGAAUCAUUUCCCUUUUACCUGGUGAGCCACGUUGGACUGGCUCACGUAGCCUGGAACCUACUCCUCUCUGGAAACCUCAUGGGUGGUUCCAAUCAUGCCCAUCUUAAACCCCAUCUCUGAGCCUGGAAGUGCCAACACCAAGCGGCUGAGGGCCUUGCCCAGCGCUUCGGCGCCCUCUCGUGGCCAUUUUCUCUAAAGACAACUCAGAGCCCUUACUCCUGCCUGCUGAACAAAGCAUUGGACUGCACUGGGCUUGUGCACCUGAGAGCUGAUUUAAUUCCUCCUCUCCUUCUAAGAGCAACCAAGUACCUAACAGACUUGGUAUUUCUUCCUCAAAGUCAACCAUGGCACUCACUCCCGCCCAUCCUUCACCACUCCUCUUAGUCAAUGAGCCAAACCCACUCCACACUGCUAAGUGGGUUUUAAUUAACCAGCCUCCCCUCUUGCUUUGUGUGACUUGGCUUGAGGUAAUGUUUUUCCCACUCUGGGGUAAAUGAAAGGAGGGAGAGCCCCAGAUGGCAGCAAAAGAAAGAUCUUUUCAGAGAACCCUUAAGAGACAGGUCUCUGGGAUGGAUGCAGACUCCCCACCAAGGGAAUUUUUCUGCUUUAUACUCUCCGUUCAUGGUCACCAGCACAGCGUUCCCAAUGCCAAACACUGUGUAAGCCUGAUCCUGAAACACUGCAUGCUCAAUAAGUUUAUCCAAUUAACUACUUUUGAGUUCAGAAUUCUGCCUCUCCAGAUUCCAAAGGCUCUCAGAACUCUUCACAGCCUGUCAAACUGCCUGUUCUUUGGGCUACUCUUAAUUCAUAUCACUUUUCUUUGGGUCAGUCCUGCUAACAGUGGUCAUCCAGGGGUGGGGUGGGGGAGUCUCAGAUGGAAAAGGAAGAAGGAAGUUUGAGGGGAACUCUCCAAAAGAAAAUCACAAGGGUUAGCCCUGCCCGUAAACCAAAAUUCUAUUCUUAUACACUCACUGUGCAAGGUUCAAUCCAUCAGCACCUUCCCUUUUUUUUCUCUAGAUUUCAGGAAAAUCACUGUAACAUCUAGGGAAAGAAGAAAAACACCUCUAAGUCAUCCAAAAAUUUUGGGUCCUUGUAGCUGAGUUUAUAGAGAACUGAACACAUGACAAAUGGGCGUUUGGCCUCCGUGAAUGAUUACCUGUAACUGAGCUUGAGUUAACCCUUUCUGAACAAGUCCCAUUGACCACCAGAGAGGCUGAGUAAUUUUUUCUGGCUAGAGAAUCCUAUUUUCCCCUCCAUCUUAUAUCCAGGGCCUGAUUGCUAAAAAGCACCCACCUGCAUUAGAUAUCUCCUACAGCAUCAGAGCGGGUCUUGGAACAUUGAAUCAUUGACUUAAGAGGGGACCUUGCGAUUUCCCAUUGUGGUGCAGUGGAAACAAAUCCGACUAAUACCCAUGAAGAUGCAGGUUCGAUCCCUGGCCUCGUUCAGUGGAUUAAUGAUCCUGUGUUCCUCUGAGCUGUGGUGUAGCCCACAGACAUGGCUCAGAUCUUGUGUCGCUGUUACUGUGGUAUAAACCAGCAGCUGUAGCUCCAAUUCAACACUUAGCCUGGGAACUUCCAUAUGUAGCAGGUGCAGCCCUAAAAGAAAAAAAAAAUUAAGGUCCUUUUAGCACUUCCCCUCCUGCCCCCCACAAAGAUUGGUUCGUGUUUCUGUUAGAGCACCUAUACCAUUUGGCAUGGGCUAGAUUUUGUGGGAUCUGCAUCACCACCAACCCUAGCAGGAGGCCACACGAGAACUGGAAACAGACCAAAAGUGAGGUCUCCUCGGUGGUUGUAACCAAGCCUCUAUCCUGGCAAAAUCACUACUAGCGUUCAGCCUCCAUGAGCAAAAAUUACCACCUGCUAACAAACAGCUUGUUUUCUUUUGCAGCACCACAUGACCAAAAAUUUGUAGAUGGGGAAAGUUAGCCAACUACUGGCUCUCUCAAUUAUAAUACCAUUUUUCUUUUUAUUAUUCAAUGAAUUCAUUACAUUUAUAGUUGUGCAAUGAUCAUCACAACCCAAUUUUAUAGCAUUUCCAUCCCAAACCCCCAGCCCAUCCCCCCACCCCCCAAACUGUCUCCUUUGGAAACCAUAAGUCAGUGUCUGUUCUGCAAAGAUGUUCAUUGUGUCCUUUUUUCAGAUUCCACAUGUCAGUGAUAGUAUUUGAUGUUUGUGUCUCAUUGUCUGACUCACUUCAUUUAGCAUGAUAAUUUUUAGGUCCGUCCAUGUUGCUAAAAAUGCUAUUUCUUUCCUUUUAAUGGCUGAGUAAUAUUCCAUUGUGUAUUCUUUAUCCACUCCUCUGUCAAUGGACAUUUAGGUUGUUCCCAUGUCUUGGCUGUUGCAAAUAGUGCUGCAAAGAACAUUGGAGUACAUGUGUCUUUUUGAGUCAUGGUUUUCUCUGGAUAGACGCCCAGGAGGGGGAUUCCUGGAUCAAAUGGUUGUUCUAUUUUUAGUUUUCUGAGGAAUUUCCAUACUGUUUUCCACAGUGGUUGCACCAAUUUACAAUCCCACCAACAGUAUGAUAGGGUUCCUUUUUCUCCACACCCUCUCCAGCACUUAUUGUUUGUAGACUUUUGGAUGAUGGCCAUUCUGGCUGGUGUAAGGUGGUACCUCAGAGUGGUUUAGAUUUGCAUUUCUCUAAUAAUGAGUGCUGUUGAACAUUUUUUCAUGUGUUUUUUUUGGCUAUCCAUAUGUCUUCUUUGGAGAAUUGUCUCUUUAGAUCUUCUGCCCAUUUUUUGAUGAUGAUUAUUAUUUUUUUUGGUAUUGAGUGGUAGGAAGUGUUUAUACAUUUUAGAGAUUAAUCCCUUGUCAGUUGAUUCAUUUGCAAAUAUUUUCUCCCAUUCUGUGGGCUGUCUUUUCCUUUUGUUUAGGGUUUCCUUUGCUGUGCAGAAACUUUUCAGUUUAAUUAGGUCCCAUUUGUUUAUUUGUUUUUACUGCCAUUACUCUAAGAGGUGGAUCUGAGAAGAUGUUGCUGUUGUUUAUGUCAGAGAGUGUUUGGCCUAUGUUUUCCUCUAUGAGUUUUAUGGUGUCUGGUCUUAUAUCUAGGGCUUUAAUCCAUUUUGUGUUUAUUUUUGUGUAUGGUGUUAGGGAAUGUUCUAAUUUCAUUCUUUUACAUGUGGAUGGCCAGUUUUCUCAGCACCACUUAUUGAACAGGCUGUCUCUUCUCCACUGUAUAUUCUUGCCUUCUUUGUCAUAGAUUAGUUGGCUGUAGGUGCGUAGUAUAAUACCAUUUUUCAAUUAGACCUCUAGUGUUAGCAUUUGAAGAAAAGUGGGCUGAGAUCACUAUGUCCCAUUUUUCAUGGUGCCUUGCCAAACAAGGGGCCUCCAAAAUAAAUGUGAGUUUAUUUCUAAUCUCUCUCUCUCCUUGUAUUGGAAUUGAAUCCCAAUGUUCCUUUUUGUUUUCUCCCUCUGCCAUGAAUAGCUGCUUCCCCUCCUGACAGUUCACCCAAGACCCCCGAUUCAUCUACCCCCACCUUUCCUCAUUCUGUGAUGCCAUCUACUCCCAACUCACCACCAUCCUACCUGCUGCCCUCACUGCCGCCUGACCCUCUCACCUCCACCCGUCAGCAUGCCUCCUUCAGGAACUAGUCCGGUGCACAACCAUAGUGACUUUCAGUACCAGCUGUCCAGAAUCAAUAGGCUCUUUCCCCCUCAAGAGGUCAGGUGGAGAGGGCAGACUGACCACCAUGUAUGUAUCCUUCCCUUCCUCCCAUCAAUAUAACUGUUAGAAUCCACACAAGGGAUUGAAGGCAGGACCCUUGGCUUCCUGUAAGACGUUUGGGGCAUCCUACCUGCCAGGAGCCCUCCUUCAUGCCAUGUGCACAAUGACUGGCUUUGAGCCCUACUCUCCAUUGUGGUCGAGGUCUUUGAAAGCUGAGGCAAUUCAUUGACAUCAUAUCCUUGCUCGUUUCCCCAUAUGAAAUAAGACGAUGACUAAGUGGGAGUUCCCAUUGUCGUGCAGCAGAAAUGAAUCCGACUAGGAUCCGUAAGGAUGCAGGUUCCAUCCCUGGCCUCGCUCAGUGGGUUGGGGAUCUGGUGUUUCCAUGAGCUGUGGUGUAGGUCGGAUGUGGGUCGGAUCCUGCAUUGCUGUGGCUGUGGUGUAGGCUGGCAGGUGUAGCUCUGAUUCAACCCCUAGCCUGGAAAUGUCCAUAUGCCAUGAGUGUGGCCCUAAAAAGAUAGAAAAAAAAAAAACCCACAAUAACAAAAAAACAAGAAGACUGAAAGGGCCCAGGGUCUUAGCUGAGUCCAUGGGGAAUAAAAAGGUUUACUUAUUAGCUUACUAGUUGACAAAGGGGCCCCCAACUCAGCCUUGAACACCCAACAAAGCACAGUGACCAAAGAUAACUGUAAGAUAUCAGGAGUUGGGAGAUGUCAUUAUAUAAGGCUCUGGAAUGAGGUGUGGAGGGGAGAAUGUUGCCUCACUCUCAUAUGUACCAGAUGCCCAAUUCCCCUCAUAUGAGAAGACUUACUAUACAAAUUGGGAGCUACCCUUCAUCUCAGAGACAAACACCUUACCAUUGAAAUACCUAAGGCUCCCUUCCAUUCUGUAGCCCUAGUGCUACUUCUCUCUGCCAAGAAUAAUAGCCUACUUAACCUUGAGGGGGUUAAUGCCUCAGCAGGGACCCAGGGCACCAUGGGCAGAGUCAGAAGGGCACCACCCACCAUAGUCAAGGUGUGACCUGGACAUAAUCAUUGAAAUAAAAAAACCCAACACCCCUGAAGCAAAGAAACCCUAGCAGGCACAAAGAAAGCCUCCAUAAGCGAGGGCUUCUUAGACCCUGCCAGUCCCCUUGCAACACUUUUGUUCUGCUGAUAAAGGGGACAAAUGGGAAAUACUGGCUAGUUCAGGAUCUCUGGGCCAUAAAUGAAGAUUUGGAGGAGAUUCAUUCUGUGGAACUGAGGUAGGAUACUAACUCAGGUAGUCAGUGUAGGAACAUGGUCUUUGAUGCAUUCUUUGAUAUGACUAUUGAUUAGCAUUUGUGGUUUAAGGACUCCAGAGAUUAAUAUAUCCACAGGCCUUGUUUAUUAUAGGAAGUGUGCCUUCCCCACAAGCUUUGUUUUAUUAUAGGAAGUGUACCUACACCCACAUGGACCUUCAUCUCUAACCCACUCAAGAGAUAAAAAAGGAGUGAGAGGGAUGGUGACUCAGUCUAAGGGAAGAGAAAGGACAAAGAAACCAUAAAACCUAUAGGAUGUUCCAUCCUAAAACCCCUAUUGGACAAGGACUGAUAUAGGUAACUGGGCAAGGCCAAUGGGAGAAAACCACAUCUUUCCAGACCCCAUGUUAUUACCCUCUCCCAUUUUUAAGGGACAAAAACCCCUAUAGGACAGUAGAGAGCGGGUGAUCUUCUCCCCUCUCCCAGCAGCCCUGGGAGCUAUUUGCUUUCCUGUAAUAAAGGCUUUGCUU
rnacentral:lncRNA from 1 species